rnacentral:tRNA from 1 species
UAGCUCAGUUGGUAGAGCAUUGUGUUCGCAACACCAGGGUUGUGGGUUCGUUUCCCAC